AUAAAAACUUGGAUAAGGAAUAGUAGGUAUGUUAGUAUUUUAAAGAGAGCGGUAAAAGAUGGGAAGCCGUAAAUACUGCAUGUUGAACUCGCCUUGGAGUUGCAGGCUGAAUUGAUAUAGUAGGCUGUGCCGGCAUAUGUCGUUAUUUAAUUGAGUACGAAUUUGGGUGGUACCGCGAACAGAUUUCUCGCCCCAUAG
rnacentral:ncRNA from 1 species